GCUCUUUAAAACACGAAACUGGUGCAAAAUAUUUUCAACUAAAAUGAAACACGUGCGAGAAACAGCCGCAGCAGUGGAUCGUGUAGACACGCGCCGUACGAUGCACGUUUGGAAUGUUUUUACCAAAUUGGUGUUCAAACAAGUAAAUAAAAGCAACACUUUGAUGCGCCCACCAAUAGCAUCAGUCACCCCCACAAUUCACAUACCAACAAAAUCUAAACGUUCCUCUCCUCCAUAACGGAAUAAUCAUCUACUUUAUCCACGCGCCGCCGCACUCUUCCCGUCGUUCAUGGGUGCUGUAGAACCUGUAGUUGACGAGGAAAAUGGAGAAAAGGAGACGAAGAUACGAGAUGUGGAGAAAGGUGAAAUGGAUAGUCAACAAAGGGGAUUUCAAGGUCAGCCUACGCCGGCGCCGGCGCCGGCAGAAUCAGGCGGUGAGAAUUUUCACAUGUCGAGAAUGCAGAGAUUGAGUGCUACGAAUCCUCUGAGGCUUGUGAUGAAUGCCGGAACUAGAGUUGCU
rnacentral:misc_RNA from 1 species